rfam:Ictidomys tridecemlineatus contig039158, whole genome shotgun sequence.
GGAGUUGUGGCUCAGUGGUAGAGCACUUGCCUGGCAUGUGUGAGGCACGGGGUUCAAUUCUCAGCACCA